CAGCAGCCGCGGGAAUACGAAGGGGGCUAGCGUUGCUCGGAAUUACUGGGCGUAAAGGGCGCGUAGGCGGACAGUUCAGUCGGGGGUGAAAGCCCGGGGCUCAACCUCGGAAUUGCCUUCGAUACUGGCGAUCUUGAGUCCGGGAGAGGUGAGUGGAACUGCGAGUGUAGAGGUGAAAUUCGUAGAUAUUCGCAAGAACACCAGUGGCGAAGGCGGCUCACUGGCCCGGAACUGACGCUGAGGCACGACAGCGUGGGGAGCAAACAGGAUUAGAUACCCCAGUAGUCCCUGUCUCUUAUAC
rnacentral:rRNA from 1 species